rnacentral:rRNA from 1 species
AUUAAUUCGAUGCAACGCGAAGAACCUUACCUGGGCUUGACAUACACCAGAUCGUCGUAGAGAUACGGUUUCCCUUUGUGGUUGGUGUACAGGUGGUGCAUGGUUGUCGUCAGCUCGUGUCGUGAGAUGUUGGGUUAAGUCCCGCAACGAGCGCAACCCUUGUCUUAUGUUGCCAGCAAUUUGGUUGGGGACUCGUGAGAGACUGCCGGGGUUAACUCGGAGGAAGGUGGGGAUGACGUCAAAUCAUCAUGCCCCUUAUGUCCAGGGCUUCACACAUGCUACAAUGGUCGGUACAACGCGUUUGCGAGCCUGUGAGGGUGAGCUAAUCGCUGAAAGCCGGUCGUAGUUCGGAUUGGGGUCUGCAACUCGACCCCAUGAAGUCGGAGUCGCUAGUAAUCGCAGAUCAGCAACGCUG